AUUUAGAAUUUCAGUUUAUUGCUUAUCAAAAAAGGAAAUGAGGUGAAUUCCAUAGGAUUUAUUUCUGGUGAACUUAUGUUGAUUUUUAAUAAUGACUAGUGUUCAGCCAUUCAUAGGCUUGAUUAGAUUUUCUUUCUAUUACCAUAUGGAAAUAAUUGAAAAGGACCAAGAAAUCCUAAUAUACACAGGUUAUUGAUAUUACAGCGUAACAUGCAUUACUAGUUAAACCACAUCAUGAAUACAUCUAUAAAUUAUCAAAUCAUAUCAAAUGUCCUGCAUUCCAACUCCAAAGGUUGUAGAACAGUUCCACUGUGUUUUACAAACCAGGGGAGAAGUCAAGUCA